rnacentral:rRNA from 1 species
UCAGAGGCGAUGAAGGACGUGCUAAUCUGCGAUAAGCGUCGGUAAGGUGAUAUGAACCGUUAUAACCGGCGAUUUCCGAAUGGGGAAACCCAGUGUGUUUCGACACACUAUCAUUAACUGAAUCCAUAGGUUAAUGAGGCGAACCGGGGGAACUGAAACAUCUAAGUACCCCGAGGAAAAGAAAUCAACCGAGAUUCCCCCAGUAGCGGCGAGCGAACGGGGAGCAGCCCAGAGCCUGAAUCAGUGUGUGUGUUAGUGGAAGCGUCUGGAAAGGCGCGCGAUACAGGGUGACAGCCCCGUACACAAAAAUGCACAUGCUGUGAGCUCGAUGAGUAGGGCGGGACACGUGGUAUCCUGUCUGAAUAUGGGGGGACCAUCCUCCAAGGCUAAAUACUCCUGACUGACCGAUAGUGAACCAGUACCGUGAGGGAAAGGCGAAAAGAACCCCGGCGAGGGGAGUGAAAAAGAACCUGAAACCGUGUACGUACAAGCAGUGGGAGCACGCUUAGGCGUGUGACUGCGUACCUUUUGUAUAAUGGGUCAGCGACUUAUAUUCUGUAGCAAGGUUAACCGAAUAGGGGAGCCGAAGGGAAACCGAGUCUUAACUGGGCGUUAAGUUGCAGGGUAUAGACCCGAAACCCGGUGAUCUAGCCAUGGGCAGGUUGAAGGUUGGGUAACACUAACUGGAGGACCGAACCGACUAAUGUUGAAAAAUUAGCGGAUGACUUGUGGCUGGGGGGGAAAGGCCAAUCAAACCGGGAGAUAGCUGGUUCUCCCCGAAAGCUAUUUAGGUAGCGCCUCGUGAAUUCAUCUCCGGGGGUAGAGCACUGUUUCGGCAAGGGGGUCAUCCCGACUUACCAACCCGAUGCAAACUGCGAAUACCGGAGAAUGUUAUCACGGGAGACACACGGCGGGUGCUAACGUCCGUCGUGAAGAGGGAAACAACCCAGACCGCCAGCUAAGGUCCCAAAGUCAUGGUUAAGUGGGAAACGAUGUGGGAAGGCCCAGACAGCCAGGAUGUUGGCUUAGAAGCAGCCAUCAUUUAAAGAAAGCGUAAUAGCUCACUGGUCGAGUCGGCCUGCGCGGAAGAUGUAACGGGGCUAAACCAUGCACCGAAGCUGCGGCAGCGACGCUGAUGCGUUGUUGGGUAGGGGAGCGUUCUGUAAGCCUGCGAAGGUGUGCUGUGAGGCAUGCUGGAGGUAUCAGAAGUGCGAAUGCUGACAUAAGUAACGAUAAAGCGGGUGAAAAGCCCGCUCGCCGGAAGACCAAGGGUUCCUGUCCAACGUUAAUCGGGGCAGGGUGAGUCGACCCCUAAGGCGAGGCCGAAAGGCGUAGUCGAUGGGAAACAGGUUAAUAUUCCUGUACUUGGUGUUACUGCGAAGGGGGGACGGAGAAGGCUAUGUUGGCCGGGCGACGGUUGUCCCGGUUUAAGCGUGUAGGCUGGUUUUCCAGGCAAAUCCGGAAAAUCAAGGCUGAGGCGUGAUGACGAGGCACUACGGUGCUGAAGCAACAAAUGCCCUGCUUCCAGGAAAAGCCUCUAAGCAUCAGGUAACAUCAAAUCGUACCCCAAACCGACACAGGUGGUCAGGUAGAGAAUACCAAGGCGCUUGAGAGAACUCGGGUGAAGGAACUAGGCAAAAUGGUGCCGUAACUUCGGGAGAAGGCACGCUGAUAUGUAGGUGAAGUCCCUUGCGGAUGGAGCUGAAAUCAGUCGAAGAUACCAGCUGGCUGCAACUGUUUAUUAAAAACACAGCACUGUGCAAACACGAAAGUGGACGUAUACGGUGUGACGCCUGCCCGGUGCCGGAAGGUUAAUUGAUGGGGUUAGCGCAAGCGAAGCUCUUGAUCGAAGCCCCGGUAAACGGCGGCCGUAACUAUAACGGUCCUAAGGUAGCGAAAUUCCUUGUCGGGUAAGUUCCGACCUGCACGAAUGGCGUAAUGAUGGCCAGGCUGUCUCCACCCGAGACUCAGUGAAAUUGAACUCGCUGUGAAGAUGCAGUGUACCCGCGGCAAGACGGAAAGACCCCGUGAACCUUUACUAUAGCUUGACACUGAACAUUGAGCCUUGAUGUGUAGGAUAGGUGGGAGGCUUUGAAGUGUGGACGCCAGUCUGCAUGGAGCCGACCUUGAAAUACCACCCUUUAAUGUUUGAUGUUCUAACGUUGACCCGUAAUCCGGGUUGCGGACAGUGUCUGGUGGGUAGUUUGACUGGGGCGGUCUCCUCCUAAAGAGUAACGGAGGAGCACGAAGGUUGGCUAAUCCUGGUCGGACAUCAGGAGGUUAGUGCAAUGGCAUAAGCCAGCUUGACUGCGAGCGUGACGGCGCGAGCAGGUGCGAAAGCAGGUCAUAGUGAUCCGGUGGUUCUGAAUGGAAGGGCCAUCGCUCAACGGAUAAAAGGUACUCCGGGGAUAACAGGCUGAUACCGCCCAAGAGUUCAUAUCGACGGCGGUGUUUGGCACCUCGAUGUCGGCUCAUCACAUCCUGGGGCUGAAGUAGGUCCCAAGGGUAUGGCUGUUCGCCAUUUAAAGUGGUACGCGAGCUGGGUUUAGAACGUCGUGAGACAGUUCGGUCCCUAUCUGCCGUGGGCGCUGGAGAACUGAGGGGGGCUGCUCCUAGUACGAGAGGACCGGAGUGGACGCAUCACUGGUGUUCGGGUUGUCAUGCCAAUGGCACUGCCCGGUAGCUAAAUGCGGAAGAGAUAAGUGCUGAAAGCAUCUAAGCACGAAACUUGCCCCGAGAUGAGUUCU